rnacentral:lncRNA from 1 species
CAGCCGGACGAGGAAUCAUUCGCGAAAUGAGUGCAUUGUCCCGGUCAGACACGGGAACAGUCCUCUCCCCGCGUUCUGCACAGCGCUUGGUCUCAGGGAGCAAACCCGCUGCAGCAGCUCUGAGAGACAGAAAAACACAUUAAAAACCUGUCAGCUCAGCAAAAGGGAUCGGUGCAAGGUUUCUGGAACAGCAGCUACGAAAACAGCUGUUGGUAUGGAGAGUUUUCCAUGGAGAUAAAAUAAAACAAGCUCCCCUUCUCAGAUUCUUCCUCUCUGAUGCAGCAGAUGUGAAUUCACACUUUCUGCCUCAGGAUCAGCACUGCCAGCAGAAAGAUGCCUUCAUGACAGCACUGGUCAGUCUGCACCACUCACUCACCAAGGUGAGGGAAAAAGCAAUUUGAGGUC